AACGAACGCUGGCGGCAGGCUUAACACAUGCAAGUCGAGCGCCCCGCAAGGGGAGCGGCAGACGGGUGAGUAACGCGUGGGAACAUACCCUUUCCUGCGGAAUAGCUCCGGGAAACUGGAAUUAAUACCGCAUACGCCCUACGGGGGAAAGAUUUAUCGGGGAAGGAUUGGCCCGCGUUGGAUUAGCUAGUUGGUGGGGUAAAGGCCUACCAAGGCGACGAUCCAUAGCUGGUCUGAGAGGAUGAUCAGCCACAUUGGGACUGAGACACGGCCCAAACUCCUACGGGAGGCAGCAGUGGGGAAUAUUGGACAAUGGGCGCAAGCCUGAUCCAGCCAUGCCGCGUGAGUGAUGAAGGCCUUAGGGUUGUAAAGCUCUUUCACCGGAGAAGAUAAUGACGGCAUCCGGAGAAGAAGCCCCGGCUAACUUCGUGCCAGCCGCCGCAGUAAUAC
rnacentral:rRNA from 1 species